AUUGAACGCUGGCGGCAGGCCUAACACAUGCAAGUCGAACGAGUGGCGGACGGGUGAGUAAUGUAUGGGAAACUGCCUGGUGGAGGGGGAUAACUACUGGAAACGGUAGCUAAUACCGCAUACCAUCAGAUGUGCCCAGAUGGGAUUAGCUAGUUGGUGGGGUAACGGCUCACCAAGGCGACGAUCCCUAGCUGGUUUGAGAGGAUAACCAGCCACACUGGGACUGAGACACGGCCCAGACUCCUACGGGAGGCAGCAGUGGGGAAUUUUGGACAAUGGGGGCAACCCUGAUGCAGCCAUGCCGCGUGUAUGAAGAAGGCCUUCGGGUUGUAAAGUACUUUCAGCAGAGAAGCGGUAUCUGCAGAAGAAGCACCGGCUAACUCCGUGCCAGCAGCCGCGGUAAUUC
rnacentral:rRNA from 1 species